rnacentral:misc_RNA from 1 species
GUGGGAGGGGGCUUGCCCCCGAUGGCGAUGUGUCAGUCACCAAGUGUAUUGGCUGAUCCACCGCUAUCGGGGGCAAGCCCCCUCCCAC